rnacentral:rRNA from 1 species
AUUGAACGCUGGCGGCAGGCUUAACACAUGCAAGUCGAGCGAGCGGCGGACGGGUGAGUAAUGCCUGGGAAACUGCCUGAUGGAGGGGGAUAACUACAGGAAACGGUAGCUAAUACCGCAUACCAUCAGAUGUGCCCAGGUGGGAUGAUCUAGGAGGUGGGGUAAUGGCUCACCAAGGCGACGAUCCCUAGCUGGUUUGAGCGGAUGACCAGCCACAUGUGAACUGAGACACGGUCCAGACUCCUACGGGAGGCAGCAGUGGGGAAUAUUGUACAAUGGGCGAAAGCCUGAUGCAGCCAUGCCGCGUGUGUGAAGAAGGCCUUCGGGUUGUAAAGCACUUUCAGCGAGGAGGCGUUACUCGCAGAAGAAGCACCGGCUAACUCCGUGCCAGCAGCCGCGGUAAUAC